GAUGAACGCUAGCGGCAGGCUUAAUACAUGCAAGUCGAGGGGCAGCAUGGUGUAGCAAUACACUGAUGGCGACCGGCAAACGGGUGCGGAACACGUACAGAACCUUCCUUCGAGCGGGGAAUAGCCCAGAGAAAUUUGGAUUAAUACCCCAUAGUAUAUUGGAGUGGCAUCACUUUGAUAUUAAAGAUUUAUCACUUGAAGAUGGCUGUGCGGCUGAUUAGGUAGUUGGCGGGGUAACGGCCCACCAAGCCUACGAUCAGUAACUGGUGUGGGAGCACAGCCAGUCACACGGGCACUGAGACACGGGCCCGACUCCUACGGGAGGCAGCAGUAAGGAAUAUGGGUCAAUGGACGAAAGUCUGAACCAGCCAUGCCGCGUGGAGGAUGAAGGUCCUCUGGAUUGUAAACUUCUUUUAUAUGGGACGAAAAAAGGCUUUUCUAAGUCGUCUGACGGUACCAUAUGAAUAAGCACCGGCUAACUCCGUGCCAGCAGCCGCAGUAAUAC
rnacentral:rRNA from 1 species